AAAGUGUUAAGUUAAAUAGACUGUAGUACUUCAAAUACUAAGGAGGGCAUGUAGCCCACAUUUUG
rnacentral:tRNA from 1 species